GGGUUGUGAGGUUAAGCGACUAAGCGUACACGGUGGAUGCCCUGGCAGUCAGAGGCGAUGAAGGGCGUGCUAAUCUGCGAUAAGCGCCGGUAAGGUGAUAUGAACCGUUAUAACCGGCGAUACCCGAAUGGGGAAACCCAGUGUGACUCGUCACACUAUCAUUAACUGAAUCCAUAGGUUAAUGAGGCGAACCGGGGGAACUGAAACAUCUAAGUACCCCGAGGAAAAGAAAUCAACCGAGAUUCCCCCAGUAGCGGCGAGCGAACGGGGAGGAGCCCAGAGCCUGAAUCAGCAUGUGUGUUAGUGGAAGCGUCUGGAAAGGCGCGCGAUACAGGGUGACAGCCCCGUACACAAAAGCGCAUGUGCUGUGAGCUCGAUGAGUAGGGCGGGACACGUGGUAUCCUGUCUGAAUAUGGGGGGACCAUCCUCCAAGGCUAAAUACUCCUGACUGACCGAUAGUGAACCAGUACCGUGAGGGAAAGGCGAAAAGAACCCCGGCGAGGGGAGUGAAAAAGAACCUGAAACCGUGUACGUACAAGCAGUGGGAGCACAGGUUUACCUGUGUGACUGCGUACCUUUUGUAUAAUGGGUCAGCGACUUAUAUUCUGUAGCAAGGUUAACCGUAUAGGGGAGCCGGAGGGAAACCGAGUCUUAACCGGGCGUUAAGUUGCAGGGUAUAGACCCGAAACCCGGUGAUCUAGCCAUGGGCAGGUUGAAGGUUGGGUAACACUAACUGGAGGACCGAACCGACUAAUGUUGAAAAAUUAGCGGAUGACCUGUGGCUGGGGGUGAAAGGCCAAUCAAACCGGGAGAUAGCUGGUUCUCCCCGAAAGCUAUUUAGGUAGCGCCUCGUGAAUUCAUCUCCGGGGGUAGAGCACUGUUUCGGCUAGGGGGCCAUCCCGGCUUACCAACCCGAUGCAAACUGCGAAUACCGGAGAAUGUUAUCACGGGAGACACACGGCGGGUGCUAACGUCCGUCGUGAAGAGGGAAACAACCCAGACCGCCAGCUAAGGUCCCAAAGUCAUGGUUAAGUGGGAAACGAUGUGGGAAGGCCCAGACAGCCAGGAUGUUGGCUUAGAAGCAGCCAUCAUUUAAAGAAAGCGUAAUAGCUCACUGGUCGAGUCGGCCUGCGCGGAAGAUGUAACGGGGCUAAACCAUGCACCGAAGCUGCGGCAGCGAACGUAUCACUUAAAGCGAUUCAGCGGGUUACGAUUGACGGAGCGAAGCGACGUCAAAGCGUAUACAAAGUCGAGUCGGUUUAAGGAUACGUUCGUUGGGUAGGGGAGCGUUCUGUAAGCCUGUGAAGGUGUGUCGUGAGGCAUGCUGGAGGUAUCAGAAGUGCGAAUGCUGACAUAAGUAACGAUAAAGCGGGUGAAAAGCCCGCUCGCCGGAAGACCAAGGGUUCCUGUCCAACGUUAAUCGGGGCAGGGUGAGUCGACCCCUAAGGCGAGGCCGAAAGGCGUAGUCGAUGGGAAACGGGUUAAUAUUCCCGUACUUGGUGUUACUGCGAAGGGGGGACGGAGAAGGCUAUGUUGGCCGGGCGACGGUUGUCCCGGUUUAAGCGUGUAGGCUGGUUUUCCAGGCAAAUCCGGAAAAUCAAGGCUGAGGCGUGAUGACGAGGCACUACGGUGCUGAAGCAACAAAUGCCCUGCUUCCAGGAAAAGCCUCUAAGCAUCAGGUAACAUCAAAUCGUACCCCAAACCGACACAGGUGGUCAGGUAGAGAAUACCAAGGCGCUUGAGAGAACUCGGGUGAAGGAACUAGGCAAAAUGGUGCCGUAACUUCGGGAGAAGGCACGCUGACACGUAGGUGAAGUGAUUUACUCAUGGAGCUGAAGUCAGUCGAAGAUACCAGCUGGCUGCAACUGUUUAUUAAAAACACAGCACUGUGCAAACACGAAAGUGGACGUAUACGGUGUGACGCCUGCCCGGUGCCGGAAGGUUAAUUGAUGGGGUCAGCGCAAGCGAAGCUCCUGAUCGAAGCCCCGGUAAACGGCGGCCGUAACUAUAACGGUCCUAAGGUAGCGAAAUUCCUUGUCGGGUAAGUUCCGACCUGCACGAAUGGCGUAAUGAUGGCCAGGCUGUCUCCACCCGAGACUCAGUGAAAUUGAACUCGCUGUGAAGAUGCAGUGUACCCGCGGCAAGACGGAAAGACCCCGUGAACCUUUACUAUAGCUUGACACUGAACAUUGAGCCUUGAUGUGUAGGAUAGGUGGGAGGCUUUGAAGCGUGGACGCCAGUCUGCGUGGAGCCGACCUUGAAAUACCACCCUUUAAUGUUUGAUGUUCUAACGUGGACCCGUGAUCCGGGUUGCGGACAGUGUCUGGUGGGUAGUUUGACUGGGGCGGUCUCCUCCUAAAGAGUAACGGAGGAGCACGAAGGUUGGCUAAUCCUGGUCGGACAUCAGGAGGUUAGUGCAAUGGCAUAAGCCAGCUUGACUGCGAGCGUGACGGCGCGAGCAGGUGCGAAAGCAGGUCAUAGUGAUCCGGUGGUUCUGAAUGGAAGGGCCAUCGCUCAACGGAUAAAAGGUACUCCGGGGAUAACAGGCUGAUACCGCCCAAGAGUUCAUAUCGACGGCGGUGUUUGGCACCUCGAUGUCGGCUCAUCACAUCCUGGGGCUGAAGUAGGUCCCAAGGGUAUGGCUGUUCGCCAUUUAAAGUGGUACGCGAGCUGGGUUUAGAACGUCGUGAGACAGUUCGGUCCCUAUCUGCCGUGGGCGCUGGAGAACUGAGGGGGGCUGCUCCUAGUACGAGAGGACCGGAGUGGACGCAUCACUGGUGUUCGGGUUGUCAUGCCAAUGGCACUGCCCGGUAGCUAAAUGCGGAAGAGAUAAGUGCUGAAAGCAUCUAAGCACGAAACUUGCCCCGAGAUGAGUUCUCCCUGAGACUUAAAGUCUCCUGAAGGAACGUUGAAGACGACGACGUUGAUAGGCCGGGUGUGUAAGCGCAGCGAUGCGUUGAGCUAACCGGUACUAAUGAACCGUGAGGCUUAACCUUACAACGCCGAAG
rnacentral:rRNA from 3 species